rnacentral:rRNA from 1 species
GGUAGCAUAAUCAUUAGUUUUUUAAUUGAAAAAUUGUAUGAAUGGUUAGACAAAAGAAGAACUGUCUCUUUAUCUUUACUUGAAUUUUACUUUUAAGUGAAAAGGCUUAAAUUUUUUAGGGGGACGAUAAGACCCUAUGAAGCUUUAUAAUGGAAUAAUAUGUCUAUAAUAUUACAUAUAAUGUUAAAAUAAUAAACCAUUAUUUUGUUGGGGCGACAUUAAUAAAAAUAAUAUAACUGUUAAAGUAUAAGACACUUUAGGUGAUUAAAUGAUCCUUUAUUAAAGAUUAAAAGAUUAAGUUACUCUAGGGAUAACAGCGUAAUUUCUUUUGAGAGUCCUUAUUGAAAAAGAAGUUUGCGACCUCGAUGUUGAAUUAAAAUACCCAGACAGUGCAGUCGCUAUCGAGGGGA